GUUCAAGUGAGAAGAGGGCUGUGCAGAUCUCAAGAUGACAUCGGGAUCCUGAUGUGAAGUUUUCCUGCUUCUGGAGGAGGGAAGCAGAGGGCUGUUUUGCCUCCUCUGGGCCAGGGAUGCAUGGAAUGGCAGAGGUGGGGGCUCCCAGCUAUGGUGACUGGGAGGGCAGGGUCGGGGUCCCUGGAAGCAGAUCCUGAGACAAAGUCCCCUGUGCAAGAGAUUUAUUUCAAAGGUGUGCCCAGGCUCUUGGUGGCCCAGGGUGGGCCUUGGCCUUCAGCCUGCUGACCCAGGACCCUCACUCCUUCCAUAGUGGGGACCAGUGCCUGUCUGAGCCCCAUCAUGAUCCCACUGGGAGGUACUUGUUAUAACUGGUUAGAG
rnacentral:lncRNA from 1 species